rnacentral:rRNA from 1 species
UACGGAAGGCAGCAGUGGGGAAUAUUGCACAAUGGGCGCAAGCCUGAUGCAGCCAUGCCGCGUGUAUGAAGAAGGCCUUCGGGUUGUAAAGUACUUUCAGCGGGGAGGAAGGCGGUGGAGUUAAUAGCUUCACCGAUUGACGUUACCCGCAGAAGAAGCACCGGCUAACUCCGUGCCAGCAGCCGCGGUAAUACGGAGGGUGCAAGCGUUAAUCGGAAUUACUGGGCGUAAAGAGCACGUAGGUGGUUUUUUUAAGUCAGAUGUGAAAUCCCUGGGCUUAACCUAGGAACUGCAUUUUGAAACUGAAAUACUAGAGUAUCGUAGAGGGAGGUAGAAUUCUAGGUGUAGCGGUGAAAUGCGUAGAUAUCUGGAGGAAUACCUGUGGCGAAAGCGGCCUCCUAAAACGAUACUGACACUGAGGUGCGAAAGCGUGGGGAGCAAACAGGGAUUAGAUACC